rnacentral:tRNA from 1 species
GCCAGGUGUUCUUAGGUAUUUGCUUGAAACCGGGAUUCCUAAUCCAGGUGUCGCGCGUUCGAUUCGCGCCGUGGGCACCA